GCUCUGAUGCUCAUGGUUCAAUUGAUUUAAAUACACAAAAUUGUAGCUUCUGGCCAGUUUCAUGGGACACAAAUGCCUGGACCUGAACAAAACGUCAGGCCAAACAAGGUCCAUUUGGCAAGAUACAAGAGGUCCAUCUAAGAAUAAUACAAGCUUGACAAAAAAACCCAAGCCCAGUAAAUACUAGAAAAAUCAAACCCAAAACUAAAUCCAUAAAUCAAAUCUUAUAGUAGACUGGAGAACCUAAAUCACUAGGAAACUUCCAUAGCCACCUACAAACCGAAAACCACCUCCCUUAAUCACCCUAACAAGAUGCUAGACCUCAUAAGAAACACAUACUAACAUCAUCGACUAUUGUCAGAGAGAGAGGUGGGUAAAUCUCAUGGCCUCUCAGUCUCUUAUAACCUUUAGGGUAAGGAAGGGGGCAGCAGCCACCAAUUGAGACGAGUUCAACAACCUUGAGUUACCCACCACCAAACAUGCAGAGAACCUCCAAGAAGACAAGGACCACCGACAUUCAUGAUGGAACUGCUCCAACAACCAUAGCCAUUGUGUGGAUCAAAGAGAAGCUAUCCUUGUGAAAUGCCCGUACCUGUCGAAAACACAAACAAAUCCUAUUUACUCCCAAACCCAGCAAAACAGAAAGCAGAUCGCCCAUUAGGCUAAGACAAAACGAUAGCUUAGGGCAAGGGAAGCUAACAAGACUAGUAGGGAAAGCUCGGCUAUUCCAAGAGAAACAGGCGAAAAACAAGAAAUUAGGAAAAAAAUCUCUUUGUAACUUAGAAAAAGAUAUAUUGGAUGAUAUGAUAAAUUAGGUGCUAUGGGUGACUUGAAUUCUUAGUUUGAAGAAUUCUAGAAUGACUUAGCCUUAAAGAGAGUCGCUAGACAAAUUGUUUUUUGAUUUGUUAAAAACUUAACUAGAUUUGGAAGCAUGAAGUUAUUUUCAGAAAAGAACUAAAGAAAGAAUAAAAUAAAGAAAAAAAGGAGAUACAACUUGAGCAAUUGUGGCAAACUUUGGACAAAUUGCAAUAUUGCUGACUUUUGGCAACUUAAAUGGAAUGACUUGAUAUGGCUAUAAAUAGGGCUAAAGAGAAAAUUUUCCCUAUAGUUAUAUCAGUUUUUUGGUGUAAUUUGGUUUGAGUGAUUU
rnacentral:misc_RNA from 1 species